GCUUCGGCUCGACUCUCCCACCCUUUGUGAACGUACCUCUGUUGCUUUGGCGGCUCCGGCCGCCAAAGGACCUCCAAACUCCAGUCAGUAAACGCAGACGUCUGAUAAACAAGUUAAUAAACUAAAACUUUCAACAACGGAUCUCUUGGUUCUGGCAUCGAUGAAGAACGCAGCGAAAUGCGAUAAGUAAUGUGAAUUGCAGAAUUCAGUGAAUCAUCGAAUCUUUGAACGCACAUUGCGCCCCUUGGUAUUCCGGGGGGCAUGCCUGUUCGAGCGUCAUUACAACCCUCAAGCUCUGCUUGGAAUUGGGCACCGUCCUCACUGCGGACGCGCCUCAAAGACCUCGGCGGUGGCUGUUCAGCCCUCAAGCGUAGUAGAAUACACCUCGCUUUGGAGUGGUUGGCGUCGCCCGCCGGACGAACCUUCUGAACUUUUCUCAAGGUUGACCUCGGAUCAGGUAGGGAUACCCGCUGAACUUAAGCAUAUCAAUAAGCGGAGGA
rnacentral:rRNA from 1 species